UGUAAUUGCGGUGAUGGAGUCCACCGAUAAAAUACCCGUCAAGGGUUGAUGACUCCUACCCGAAA
rnacentral:ncRNA from 2 species